rnacentral:rRNA from 1 species
GGAAGUGGGAUGACGUCAAGUCAGCACGGCCUUUAUAUCCUGGGCUACACACACGCUACAAUGGGAAGGGACAAUAGGUUGCGAAGCCGCGAGGCGGAGCCAAUCCAGCAAAACUUCCCUCAGUUCAGAUUGCAGGCUGCAACUCGCCUGCAUGAAGUUGGAGUUGCUAGUAACGCAGGUCAGCCAUACUGCGUUGAAUACGUUCCCGGGGCUU